CUUGAACGAUGGCGGCAGGCCUAACCCAUGCAAGUCGAGCGGAGCGGCGGACGGGUGAGUAAUGCCUAGGAAUCUGCCUGGUAGUGGGGGAUAACGUCCGGAAACGGGCGCUAAUACCGCAUACUAUCAGAUGAGCCUAGGUCGGAUUAGCUAGUUGGUGGGGUAAAGGCCUACCAAGGCGACGAUCCGUAACUGGUCUGAGAGGAUGAUCAGUCACACUGGAAGUUCGACACGGUCCAUACUCCGACGGUCGGCAGCAGUGGGGAAGAUUGGACAAUGGGCGAAAGCCUGAUCCAGCCAUGCCGCGUGUGUGAGGAAGGUCGUCGGAUUGUAAAGCACUUUAAGUUGGGAGGCGUUACCAACAGAAUAAGCACCGGCGAACUUCGUGCCAGCAGCCGCGGUAAUAC
rnacentral:rRNA from 1 species